CCUAACACAUGCAAGUCGAGCGGUAGCACAGAGAGCUUGCUCUCGGGUGACGAGCGGCGGACGGGUGAGUAAUGUCUGGGAAACUGCCUGAUGGAGGGGGAUAACUACUGGAAACGGUAGCUAAUACCGCAUAAUGUCGCAAGACCAAAGUGGGGGACCUUCGGGCCUCGAUGCCAUCAGAUGUGCCAGAUGGGAUUAGCUAGUAGGUGGGGUAACGGCUCACCUAGGCGACGAUCCCUAGCUGGUCUGAGAGGAUGACCAGCCACACUGGAACUGAGACACGGUCCAGACUCCUACGGGAGGCAGCA
rnacentral:rRNA from 1 species